CUUGCAAUUAGCCCUCGGGCACGAACUUGCAAAUAAACUUCAAUAAACAGUUAUUGCUUUUUUAUUAAUGCCAUUCUUUGAAGAUGUACAUGCCCUAACCGAUUUGUGUUUUGUUCCAGGUUCCCUUUCUGACGACGACCUGCCAGAGUAACGGGGACUGCCGACUUCCCGGAGACUAUUGUCAGAGUUUCCGCGGCCUGGGGCAGACUCACCUCUGCAUCCCGAGAAGCGUCAGCGGACUGCCUGCUCACUAUGUCAACAGCGCGGCUGCAGCUUUACGCCCCCAAACUCCGGCGGCUGCUUUGCGCCCUCAAACUCCGUUGUUCCCCCACUUCCUGGCCAGCCUGCCGAGCUGCCGGCGGAACUCGGACUGCCCCCGCGGGUACUACUGCGGUAGGAUGGUGACCGGCCGGUACAGCUGUGCGCCCCUGGCCCCCGGCGCUUCUCGCCUCAUGCCAUACAACCCGUACAUGUUCCGCUUCCGAUCCGAUCCAAUGGCGUCAGAUUCUGAGACUUCAGAAUCAGCCCAAGAUGCCAGCAGCAGCAGUGGAGGCGAACGCACUGCGGAUAACAAUGAAUGACAGGGGAGUAGAGAGACGACAGGAAGACAAACUUAAGAAACAAUGUCCGUGGAGUGUCGAGUGCCGCGGACAGAGAACAGCUCGUCUUCCCCCUCGCUACUAGCUACAGUAGGGUUUCUUUAAUAACUCGUUUCUAUAUGCGUCAUGACCAGAACCACAGCUUGGUCUACAUAGUGCUUAUCUUCGAUCACUGUUCGUCCCGUGGAAUAAUGUUCAUAAGUAGAAGGCUGUGGCAGUUUUUUUAGUGUGCGAUAAUCAACCUGCCAUCCAAUCUACAUCCAAGAUAAAGUAUAUGGUACAGAGUCAAUGUCAGAUGUUAUAUGAGCUGACAUGAUUUCUAUAUCGAACCUUGAUUGACUAUCUAAAAGUAAAUGUUACCCUCUUGUUAUUCUUAAUCAUCCUGCUUACCAUGUUGAUAAAUGUAAAAUAGCUAUCAGCUUAGGGGCGAAGCAUCAUUACAUAGCUAGCAUCUAAUACAUAUGUUUGACAUGUGUCAAUGUACAUUUUGAUGUACGUUUCAGAAUCCUUUUUAUAAAUGCUUAGAUCGUUGCUCUCAACAGUCCAAAUUAUUGCUAGAAUAGUCGCUUGUUUCCACUUGUCACCAUUGUUAUCUAUACGAAAGUCUUUUAUUUUAUGUAUUCUGUAUGCCCCAUGUUGCAAUUAGCCCUUGGGCAAGAACUUGCAAAUAAACUUUCUUUCUAUAAUAUGUUAAGUGUUUUGUGCGCAUGCUCAUUAGGAAAACCUCAAGUUGAAAGUCGGCAUUCGCAAGAUCAGCAAUAUAUAGACCCGUUCGACUAAUAUCCAAGAACCUUUUUUUAUUACAGUAGAGUAUAUUCAUUUUACUGUCAGUCAAUGUAAUACUAUAACUUGAAUGAAUAAUUGUUCUGAACGCAGAAAUAAAGCCAUGCCAUGAGAUAA